UACGUAGGGUGCAAGCGUUGUCCGGAAUUAUUGGGCGUAAAGAGCGUGUAGGCGGCUCGAUAAGUCCGCUCUGAAAGUCCAGGGCUCAACCCUGGGAUGCGGGUGGAUACUGUCGGGCUCGAGUCCGGAAGAGGCGAGUGGAAUUCCCGGUGUAGCGGUGAAAUGCGCAGAUAUCGGGAGGAACACCAAUGGCGAAGGCAGCUCGCUGGGACGUGACUGACGCUGAGACGCGAAAGCGUGGGGAGCAAACAGGG
rnacentral:rRNA from 1 species